CUGCAGCCUGCGGAGCCGCUCGUCGUCCGCCCGCUGCUCAUCUCUGCCGCUUUGCGUACUAACUGCUAAUGGUUACCACCGUUCAGCCGGUGGCCCUCAAAGUGAGCAGGCCUCGGUACCAUUUAGAAGACUGGUUAAGAGAGACGUCCGGGUCCCAGCCUCGGAGCUUCUCAGUGAAACUGAGGCGCCGACUGGGGCUUUGCCUUUCUAUCAAGUUCCCAGGUGACGCCGAUGCUGCUGGUCUGGGAAAUCACACGUUGAGAACCACUGUGUUAAGCACCGGCUGGAGCCUGACGUUCGGCCAAGUCCUUCCCAUACCUUAGCUCCGUGAUUUCCCUGUAAGAUCCCCGGCAGAUGGUGGCGGUGACAUCUGAAUCCAGGCCUCUUUCUCUUCAAAGCCGACCGACCGUCUUCCACUAGCAUUUAAUACUGCGCAGUGCACAUAUGGAAUCCAAGAGCUGUUUGUGGAAAUAACUGAUGAAGGAAUAGGCUCUCAGAUUCCUAGAAAAGGAACAUGGGAAUGAAGUGUCCCAAACUGAGUGUGAGGUUGCAUGAUUCCAAUUGCAUCACCAGGGAGAUGGAAAGCCUUGGUUAUACAAGUGACGUGGAUUGACCUGGGUUCUAGAACUGUACUCUUUAAAAUGCUGGCCGGAAAUAUCAAGAAUAUAAGUAAUAAUAAAUGUUGGUGAGGAUGUCGGGAAGGGUAGGCACAUACACAGUUGAUGGGACUGCAAAUUGGUGCAACCACUCUGGAAAGUAGUAUGGAGUUCCUCAAAAAAACUAGGAAUGGAACAAGCCUUUGACCCAGCUAUCCCACUCCUUGGUGUAUAUCCAAAGGAUUUAAAAUCAACAUAUUACAGUGACACAGCCAUGUCAACGUUUAUGGCACCUCAAUUACAAUUGAUAAGCUAUGGAACCAACCUAAGUGCCCUUCAAGAGAUGAGUAGAUAAAGCAAAUGUGGUCUACGUACACAAUGCAGCAUUAUUCAGCCAUAAAGAAGAAUGACUUUAAGACAUUUCCUAGUAAAUGGAUAGAUCUGGAGACUAUCAUGCUUAGUAGAAUCAGAC
rnacentral:lncRNA from 1 species